rnacentral:lncRNA from 1 species
UUAGGUUUAGUGAGGGUGGGCAGUGGGACUCACGUGAGUGCUACUGAUUCCCUCCAGCAAGAGACGGGUCACUUCUGCUUGCCGGUCAAACUCUGUCUGGGCCACGCGGAGCUCCUGCUCGGCUUGUCCACUUCAUCAUUCCAGAGCUGUGGAGACGGCAGCAGGAGUGGCCAGCAGGGGAGGGGAGAGGAGGACAGCUGGACCCUAGAGCCUGUGCCCUGCCCCAGCUCCCAGACUCAACUUCUGCCCCCCUGCCCCUCUGCCCCCCCUCCCA